GCUUAUAUUUGUACAGAAUAUCUAUAGGAAUAUCCAGUAUCCAGUACCAAAUUGGUAAUAUUGGUUGCUUCUGAGAAGAGAACUGGGUGGCUAGGGUCACGGGAGGGAGGGAAACUUCAUUGUGUACCCUUUUGUGUUUUUAAGUGUUGUAAGCCCUGUGAAUAUAUUACUUAUUAAGGGUAGAAUUGACUGGGACUACAGGCAUGAGCCACUGUGCCUGGCUAACUUUUUUUUUUUUUUCAAACAAACACAACUUGAAACAAGUAUAGCCUCAGAUGUUCUCUCUGAUCAAAGUUUCAUUGACCAAGAGCAAGAAAAGCCAAAAGAAAUUAUUUUUCUGUUAUACCGCUCCGAGCCUGUUUGUUUACCAAUUCUAACCCUUUGAUUGGGCUGCUGUGAGUGAAAGUGAGACCUUGAAAUUGUGAGUCUAGGUGAAACCAUUAAACAGCUAAGUAGCUGUCUGUGUGCUGGUCAGGGGUGUGUUUCUGUGGCAUAUAUGGCAUUAAGCUGCGAUCUGGGUACAGAAAUGCUCAGAAAGCCCAUGAGCUCAUGCGAAGAGAGAAAACCUUUUUAGCAGAUGUGUGAGACAGGAAAAAUAGUUGGUACUUUCUUUCUUUUUUUUUUUUUGAAUCGGAGUCUCGUUCUGUUGCCCAGGCUGGAGUGCAACGGCGCGAUCUCGGCUCACUGCAAGCUCCGCCUCCUGGGUCACACCAUUCUCCUGCCUCAGCCUCCCGAG
rnacentral:lncRNA from 1 species